CGCGCGCACCAACACGCACGCCCAGCGCCUCACGAUCGCGGCCCCAGGCCACAGACGAAAGCUAGAUGCGAACCCGCACCAGGGGUUCCCAGAAUUGGAAGGACAGUGACAUCGUACCUCCUCUCCAGUUAACGGAGCCCUCAAGUCUUUUAACCUUCUCCGGUCUCCCCGCCCUGUCUCUCAUCUCCACUCCUUGCUCUUACCGGUGGUCAGCUCUUCUCCAGGAACGCUGAACCCGGAGAUAGCAGGACUUCAGACCCUCUUCCCAUCCCCACCCUUCAGAGUGACCAGCACCCACCCCUUCUUCAGUGGAGAAUUGAAGUGCCCGCAGCACCUCACCAAGGAGCAAGGGACUCCCCGACAUCCUUUGAAUCGAGGAAUCUUGACACCAUUUCCUGGACAGAAUUUCCUUGCGACAUUCCCUCCUGCCCAUUCCAUAACUUUGUCUCAAAGAGCUCCUGAAGUUCACUUAGGUGGUUUUGCAAAGAACUGACCAGGGACUUGUGUCGGCCAGCUUUUGGAUCAGGACUAAAUUUCGGGUUCUACGCUUUUAUUAAAAACUGGAUGGUAGCGAGCGAAAGAGUCAGAUGGAGAAAGAGGAGGAACUGGAAGCCUGGCGAUCCAGCCCAUUUCAUUUCCCUUUCCAGUAUUUUGGCAAAAGCAGUGGUGUAGGUCUCCUGGUAGCUCCUGUGGCAACUUUGCCCUCAAGGCAGAGGUCCCUGUGUUCUGUGCAGCUAGGCGCGCUAAACCAGAUAAUCUUUACUCGGUGAAGCUGUCAGAAUCCGCCACAAGUCCCUGCUAGGAAUCCAUCCUCUGGAAGUUUGUCUUGCCUGGACUGGAGAGCAGGAAUUCAUUGCUACCAGGGGGGAAAAAAUGGAAAGUAAACUUUUGCCACGACGGUUUCUUUGAUUUUUAUUUUGUUAUUUUAUUUGAACCCUGAUUCUCCUUUAUGCUCCGCGCUCAAGUUCAGCAAAGCUUUACUGUGAGGAUUCUGCUUCCCAAGUACUGGAAAGGCUGGAUGGCAGUGAGUUUCUCUUCCAGGCUCUUCACUAAAUCUCUGUGGGUUCAGACAGAAAAAGAAAAGUGAAGCGGCGGCAUAGAGAUGGCGCUAGGACCCUUUGCAGGAGGGACUGCGCCACUCCCCCGCUGUCUCCAUGAGAGCUUCUUCUCUGAAGAUCCAGGGUAUUUUGAGUGGCCCUUUUCCCUUUGAGUUGGAAGCUGACUGACUGAGAAUGAGAAAAUACAGUAUUUUGAGCGCUUGAAGGGGAAAUCGUAGGUUGCGAAAGUGGAAGAGAAGAGAAUUUUGAGCAAAAGAAGAAACUUAAGUUGGUAGGAGCUGCAGCAAAGCUAUUCAUUGCCUGAGUAGCAAAACAGGGUAAGGUAAGCUGGCAGCAGCACCCAGGGCCCCUAACGUCAUUCAGAAAGCAGGGGUGCAGUAUGAAUUUCUUGAGUGAGUCGGCUUUAGACCCUGUGUGAGAGAACCAGGCAGAGUCGUUUUCCGAGCGAGAUUCUUGUCAAGUUUGGGGAUGAUGGAUCCAUGGAAACUGUCCCGCGGCGUGAGUGAACCACAAGCCUUUUGCUCUGCUGCAGAGUCUGCAUGUUUGAGUUCAAGGCUGGUUUUCCUUCUGGUGCAGUGAAGGCAAGAGCUAGAAGCUAGCUCAGGGAACCUAGUUAACCUCUGUUGAUAGGAAGAGUCUGAGCCUUGGUUAGUGGAGUCCCAUUCCAUGACUGGAGUGACCUCUGUUCAUUGUCAUUAAUUACUGUGAUGAAAACCAAUGAAGAGCACAGAUGUCAGGUAUCUUAAAUCUGGGAUCCAGUGACAAGAAAAUAACCAAAGAAUCAAGAGUGAAAGUGAAUUGGUAACCUCUUCUUUCUUGUUAAAAUUCAACAACAAUCCUAAUAUCUGUCUUUUGGCUAUAGACACCUACGAAGAAAGGAGUAUCUUGGCAACUCGUUCACUGGAGGAGACAUCUGUGUUUCCUUUGGACUAUGGUGUGAUAUAGUUAUAACAUAUUUAACAUAGCCUUAAAUUGUUUCAAAAGAAAUAUAUUCAGAUUUGCAUGAAGUUAUAGCCACGUAGAAUAUGUUAAUAUUCUGACCAUGUUACAUCAUUAUUCUUUUGUUACAUCAUUGACCAUAUUUAGGUGCUUAUAUUUCAAAAUAAAUCUGUGCAUAGGAAACUAGGGAACCCUGUAUGAAUAUCUGCAUAUAUGUCCUAUAUAUCCUAUAUGGCAACAUUAAGAAGACUCAGUGUUACCAAGAAUAGGAUUAAUGUGCAAAGUAGAUAAAAUAUAACCAGAGCUCAUGUUCCAAAAAAAUUGUUGUUUCCUUGGUAUAUAGAGUUUUAGUAAUACAGACUUAACCACAAAGAAUGGUCUAUUAAUUUUUUCAAAGGUGUUUGAUAAUUUUAAAUAGUUUACUAACACUCCUUUAGCCUCACCCCACCCCACCCCCACCACAGAACAAGCAAACAAAAACUACUGAAAGGAAAAGUACUGAUUACAGAGAAGAUAGGAGUGUUGUAUGCCCUCUCCUAAAGGAUGCCGUCUGCAGAAGAAGCCUCCAUACCCUGCACUCCAGGCUUAAAAAGGUCUUGAAACCUAUGAAAUACAUCAUGAAAACAAAUGUAUAUUUUCUUUUAUUCUAACCCUAGUCUAUGGUGUCAUCAUUUGUCCAAUUCUACCUGUGUCUUUCUUGCUGCUCAUCAAGUUCUGACUUGUUUUUCUCCUUUUUUUUUCCCCUGCUUCAUUUCACCCAUCCACAUAUAGCUAGAGAAAAAUUUAAAAGUUCUAAACCAGAUUACACCGUGUCUAUUCCUAUUUCAUUAAAUUAUAGUUAAUCUUACCUUCCUUUUAUGCCCAUGUAAUGCAAGGUCCUUAUUCUACAGCCUGGAGUAAUUCUCCCCAGUCUUUUGACUUAAUGCCUUGCUGAUCUGCUGUAAGUAGAAAAACACCCUUUGCAAACUACAUUUCUCCCAAUUACCAAGGGUACAUCAUUCUAUAUAAUUUUUAAAUUAAUUUAUUUUUCUAAUUUGUAGAUGAUGAUUUUAAUUUAUCUCCCACAAUAGAAUCUAAUAUCAAAGGCAGAGACUUUGGUCACUUUUGUUUAUUUUUUAAUCAAAUGUAAUUUAUUUUCUAAAAGUAACUGAGUAAGAAAUCAUUUCUUCAUAAUUGUAAAGUCGCCCUAGUGACAUCAUUACAGGCAAACUAAUAUGUUUAUGAAACAAAAAUACACAAGUAUUGAUUCUUCAAGUCAUUAUAAGUAGUCGAUGUGACAUGGUCUUUUAAAAACAGUUGCAGUGUGUAAAAAGGCAGGUGUUUAUAAUUCACACUUUAACAAGUUGCCAAGGUAUCGAUGGAGUAUUCCAGCACUCUAAUAAUUGUAUAGAUUCUCAGCAAGCAACACAUGGGGACAUAGUGAGAUGUAUCAUUGUGACAUUACUUUAGUCUAGAAGCCAAGCUGAAUAGUACAUACUGACAAGGUGCUUUAAAAGGACAUUAUUUCAGAAGGAUGGAAGACUAAACCUGCCUAAAUAUUAAUAAAUAUGCCACUAACUGUACAAAGUCAUUUUUGAAACCUUGUCUUUACAAUUUUACAAGCUGAACAAUGUACAAAUUAAUAACUCAAUACAGAAAUUUGCCUAACGCACUAUGUCAAGGCUGAAAUUAUACUGAAAAAUUAUACUGUGGAUGGUUGUUUAGACUUAUCAAAGACAAAAAGAGCUUUGCAUAUCUUGAGGAAGCAGAGACAGCAAAGAGGACAAUUCUUCAAUACAUUGCUAGGGGAACCCCAUUAUUUCAGAAUGGAGUGUGAAACCAUACUCAAGAAUACUUACUCCUAGCACUGUGUUUUAAAUAGGUAUAUUGGACAGUUACCCUAUGUACUUUUUUAAUUUAAUUUUUAUUUUUGUCAGAAGACAAUACAAAAUAUGUUUUCCUUAAUAUUUAAUGUGCUAGAUUUAUGAGAAUUUGGUAGCAUAAAUAUCUAAUACUCAAUAUAAUCAGAUAGUCAGUUUAAGAUUAGGAGAGGAAGGAGGGAGCUCGGAGGAAUUUUCAUAGGUUGCCUCAUGACAUUAUAAUCCAUUAGAAGCCAGGCCAUUUGCACUGCCUUAGUUGAGACUCUCACUGCCAUUGGGUGAUUGAUUUGAUGGACAUAAGUUAACUGGCCCAGAUCCUAAAGAGCAUGCAGUGUUGAUAUCAGUGCUCAGUCAGAAGAAAAAUUGGGAAGUGUGUGUCUUUAUGAGUCUCACAUCAUCAAAUACAGCUAAUACAUACUGCUGUUUAUGUGCUUUAUCCAAGAAUCCCUUGAUACUACUUGGAGUUAAAAGAUGCUCAAAAAGACUACGAACAAUCAACUGAGAAGUGUAGAGAGCUGCAUGCAGCCGCGCCUUAAAGAUGGCGCCGGCUCCG